CUCCCCCACACCUCUCCGGGAAGGUUUUAGGGCUGAGGGGAGGCUGCAAGACUUUUUCAGCAAGAGCUGGUGGAGUCUUCUCUGGCCUCUUCCAACCUCUGCAAGAUCCCACCAAGCACACACACAGAUUGCCCCUUGAUCAUCACAAAGCUCAUGGCUGUUCCCAGAUGGGAAAACUGAGGCCCAGAGAGAGUCAGUGACUUGCCCGGAGACACACAGCUGACUUUCCACUUUCAGCUCUAAACAGGAGUAUGUCAUCCAAGCCAGGAAGGGUCAGACCCAGUGACUACUUCAGAGACAGACACAUGACCCAAGUUAGUCCAAUGGGCGUUGGCCCUCGGACUUUCGCUGGCGCCAUUAAGAAAGCCUCCCUUGCCGGGCGCGGUGGCUCACGCCUGCAAUCCCAGCACUUUGGGAGGCCGAGGCGAGCAGAUCACGAGGUCAAGAGCUCAAGAUCAUCCUGGCCAACAUGGUGAAACCCUGUCUCUACUAAAAAUACAAAAAUUAGCUGGGCGUGGUGUCGCAUGCCUGUAGUCCCAGCUACUCAGGAGGCUGAGGCAGGAGAAACGCUUGAAUCCGGGAGGCGGAGGUUGCAGUGAGCUGAGAUCACACCACUGCACUCCAGCCGGGGCCACAGGGCGAG